rnacentral:rRNA from 1 species
UACGAAGGGGGCUAGCGUUGUUCGGAAUUACUGGGCGUAAAGGGCGCGUAGGCGGUGUGUCAAGUCAGGCGUGAAAGCCCCGGGCUCAACCUGGGAACCGCGCUUGAGACUGGCACGCUAGAGUUCGGGAGAGGAUGGUGGAAUUCCCAGUGUAGAGGUGAAAUUCGUAGAUAUUGGGAAGAACACCGAUGGCGAAGGCAGCCAUCUGGACCGACACUGACGCUGAUGCGCGAAAGCCAGGGGGAGCGGAACGGG